UACUCUCGCGCCCGUAACGGUCCCUCUGCCGAGGGUUUAAAGGGAAUGUGGCGCGCGCUUUCCAAAAGCGCGCAAUCCACAGCUGCCCCCGCAACUGUAAGCGGGUAGCCGCGCGCCAUAAGCCACUGGAAGCCAUAAGCUUCUGGGAAGGCGGCGAGCGGCGCCGAUCCGCGAGCCAGGAAACCUGCCGUUCGAUCGAGUUCUGG
rnacentral:ncRNA from 2 species